GUUAACUGAUAAGUCAACACGUGUAGUGAUCUUCUUUAAGUCUUUAUAUCCAAAUUAGAGCCUCAAAUACGAAUGCAGAGACAAAGUUCAAAUACAAAUGCAUGAACUCGACAAAUUCGUGUUUUUGAAAAAGCUUUCAUAACUACACAUCUCCCUACGAUGUGUAAUCCUGUGUAUUUCACUAUCCAUUGGUAGGAACCACGUUUAUAGGGAAAUAAGGUGAGUGAAGACAUGAAGUCACUGGAUUGCGGCGAGUCAAAACCUUCAGCAAUAAAAUAUUGUCUUUUCUCAGCAUAUGCUGCACUGCAGUGUUUGCUGUUAUUGGAAUCGAAUAUCUCUUGUCACUCAAAAACGUUUUAAAGAUUUUUCUCACAACACGUUAAAGAUGCGGUACAGUCCGUAUGUAAACAAAUGCUCUGUUUACAUUUCGGUAUUCAAAAUAUUGAAUUUUAUUCGACAACUAUUUAUAUUUUCAUGAGAUAACAAUCAAGCUUUGCAAGAACAUAAAAUGAAAUAAAAACCUAUAAAUAAACUGUUUGUAAAUAAAAACACAUGCGCAGAUCGGACUGUACCGCAUCUUGAACCAUCAUUGGCAUAUUUUUGCUGUCACUCGCUCUGCUAUCAAGUAUCCUGGUAGUUGUGUUUAAGAAGAUAUAUAAAUAUCACUAUGAUCGAAACAUCGUUACAUCACGUCGAUCAAUACGACGUCAUGUAAACAAUUCAGUUUAAAGUUCUGAAGGAAACCCGACCCAGUAACCCGCAACAUCCCUUGUUAUAUAAACGCAAGUUGGUUUUUAUUGCUCACAAUAGACCUUUCCGGUAAUUACGUCACAACUACAUCGUUUUUAAAUAUGGACCACCUUAAAUGGAAUGGAUUUCAAGUUUUUUUCUCACUGGUUAUGUGCAAAGUAGCAACAUCCUUCUUCAACACAUGCAUGAAAAAGAAUUUUCUAUUUUGACCAAUAAAUGUGGAAAUAAGCUAUAACACGAAAACGAGGCUAAGGGGUCUUGGCCCCUUAGC